rnacentral:misc_RNA from 1 species
GAUGAAGAACGUAGCGAAAUGCGAUACGUAGUGUGAAUUGCAGAAUUCAGUGAAUCAUCGAAUCUUUGAACGCACAUUGCACCUCUCGGUAUUCCGGGAGGUAUGCCUGUUCGAGCGUCAUUUGUACCCUCAAGCUCUGCUUGGUGUUGGGUGUUUGUUCCGCCUCUGUGUGUGAACUCGCCUCAAAACAAUUGGCAGCCGGCGUACUUGUUUCGGAGCGCAGCACAUUUUGCGAUCCAGAUCAACGUACAGCGGCAUCCAAGAAGCCUUAUUUAACGCUCUUGACCUCAGAUCAGGUAGGGAUACCCGCUGAACUUAAGCAUAUCAAUAAGCGGAGG